UACGUAGGAUGCGAGCGUUAUCCGGAUUUAUUGGGCGUAAAGCGAGCGCAGGUGGUUUAUUAAGUCUGGUGUAAAAGGCAGUGGCUCAACCAUUGUAUGCAUUGGAAACUGGUAGACUUGAGUGCAGGAGAGGAGAGUGGAAUUCCAUGUGUAGCGGUGAAAUGCGUAGAUAUAUGGAGGAACACCGGUGGCGAAAGCGGCUCUCUGGCCUGUAACUGACACUGAGGCUCGAAAGCGUGGGGAGCAAACAGG
rnacentral:rRNA from 1 species